AGUGAACGCUGGCGGUAGGCCUAACACAUGCAAGUCGAACGGCAGCACAGUAAGAGCUUGCUCUUACGGGUGGCGAGUGGCGGACGGGUGAGGAAUACAUCGGAAUCUACUUUUUCGUGGGGGAUAACGUAGGGAAACUUACGCUAAUACCGCAUACGACCUACGGGUGAAAGCAGGGGAUCUUCGGACCUUGCGCGAUUGAAUGAGCCGGUGUCGGAUUAGCUAGUUGGCGGGGUACAGGCCCACCAAGGCGACGAUGCGUAGCUGGUCUGAGAGGAUGAUCCGCCACUGGAACUGAGACACGGUCCAGACUCCUACGGGAGGCAGCAGUGGGGAAUAUUGGACAAUGGGCGCAAGCCUGAUCCAGCCAUACCGCGUGGGUGAAGAAGGCCUUCGGGUUGUAAAGCCCUUUUGUUGGGAAAGAACAGCAGCAGGUUAAUACCCCGCUGUUCUGACGGUACCCAAAGAAUAAGCACCGGCUAACUUCGUG
rnacentral:rRNA from 1 species